rnacentral:rRNA from 1 species
GAUGAACGCUGGCGGCGUGCCUAAUACAUGCAAGUCGAGCGAAUAGAUUAAGAGCUUGCUCUUAUGAAGUUAGCGGCGGACGGGUGAGUAACACGUGGGUAACCUGCCCAUAAGACUGGGAUAACUCCGGGAAACCGGGGCUAAUACCGGAUAACAUUUUGAACCGCAUGGUUCGAAAUUGAAAGGCGGCUUCGGCUGUCACUUAUGGAUGGACCCGCGUCGCAUUAGCUUGUUGGUGAGGUAAAGGCUCACCAAGGCAACGAUGCGUAGCCGACCUGAGAGGGUGAUCGGCCACACUGGGACUGAGACACGGCCCAGACUCCUACGGGAGGCAGCAGUAGGGAAUCUUCCGCAAUGGACGAAAGUCUGACGGAGCAACGCCGCGUGAGUGAUGAAGGCUUUCGGGUCGUAAAACUCUGUUGUUAGGGAAGAACAAGUGCUAGUUGAAUAAGCUGGCACCUUGACGGUACCUAACCAGAAAGCCACGGCUAACUACGUGCCAGCCGCCGCAGUAA